GGAGGGUCCAAGCGUUAUCCGGAAUCAUUGGGGUUUAAAGGGGUCCGUAGGCGGGCAAUUAAGUCAGAGGUGAAAUCCCACAGCUCAACUGUGGGAACUGCCUUUGAUACUGGUUGUCUUGAGUUAUAGUGAAGUAGAUAGAAUAUGUAGUGUAGCGAUGAAAUGCAUAGAUAUUACAUAGAAUACCGAUUGCGAAGGCAGUCUACUAACUGUAUACUGACGCUAAUGGACGAAAGCGUGGGGAGCGAACAGGAUUAGAUACCCUGGUAGUCCACGCCGUAAACGAUGGUCACUAGUUGUUGGGGGUCUUGUACCUCAGUGAUUAAGAGAAAUUGAUAAGUGACCCACCUGGGGAGUACGAUCGCAAAGAUUG
rnacentral:rRNA from 1 species